UGGUAGACUAACAUUUGAAGCCUGAUGACU
rnacentral:piRNA from 1 species